rnacentral:tRNA from 1 species
GGCUCUGUGGAGCAAUGGAUAGCACAUUGGACUUCUAGCAUGACCGAGAGAUUCAAAGGUUGCGGGUUCGAGUCCCACCAGAGUUG